GGCAGAUCCUCCACUUUGAGCCAUUCUGUGUGCAGUGCCCUACCCGGUAAGGUAGUGAUCACUUAGAUGAGGUGUGAUCACUGCCUGUCUGGGUGGAGUAACGCACAACAGGAACAAUGUUUGGGAGGGUCUUCAGACUGGUGCU
ensembl:miRNA